AUUGAACGCUGGCGGCAUGCCUUACACAUGCAAGUCGAACGGUAACGCGGGGCAACCUGGCGACGAGUGGCGAACGGGGGAGUAAUGCAUCGGAACGUGCCCAGUAGUGGGGGAUAGCCCGGCGAAAGCCGGCUUAAUACCGCAUACGACCUACGGGCGAAAGGGGGGGAUCGCAAGACCUCGCGCUAUUGGAGCGGCCGAUGUCAGAUUAGGUAGUUGGUGGGGUAAAGGCCUACCAAGCCGACGAUCUGUAGCUGGUCUGAGAGGACGACCAGCCACACUGGGACUGAGACACGGCCCAGACUCCUACGGGAGGCAGCAGUGGGGAAUUUUGGACAAUGGGCGCAAGCCUGAUCCAGCCAUGCCGCGUGCGGGAAGAAGGCCUUCGGGUUGUAAACCGCUUUUGUCAGGGAAGAAAUCUUCUGGGUUAAUACCUCGGGAGGAUGACGGUACCUGAAGAAUAAGCACCGGCUAAUUACGUGCCAGCCGCCGCGGUAAGAC
rnacentral:rRNA from 1 species